GAAGUGAAGCUCGUGGAGUCUGGGGGAGGUUUAGUGAAGCCUGGACAGUCCCUGAAACUCUCCUGUGCAGCCUCUGGAUUCACUUUCAGUAACUAUUACAUGUCUUGGGUUCACCAGACUCCGGAGAAGAGGCUGGAGUGGGUUGCAUACAUUAGUAGUAGUGGUGUUAGCACCUAUUAUCCAGACAAUGUAAAGGGCCGAUUCGCCAUCUCCAGAGACAAUGCCAAGAACACCCUUUACCUGCAAAUGACCAGUCUGAAGUCAGAGGACACGGCCUUGUAUUACUGUGCAAGA